GAGUUUGAUCGUGGCUCAGAUUGAACGCUGGCGGCAGGCCUAACACAUGCAAGUCGAGCGGAUGAAGGGAGCUUGCUCCUGGAUUCAGCGGCGGACGGGUGAGUAAUGCCUAGGAAUCUGCUUGGUAGUGGGGAUAACGUCCGGAAACGGGCGCUAAUACCGCAUACGUCCUGAGGGAGAAAGUGGGGGAGUCUUCGGACCUCACGCUAUCAGACGAGCCUAGGUCGGAUUAGCUAGUUGGUGGGGUAAAGGCCUACCAAGGCGACGAUCCGUAACUGGUCUGAGAGGAUGAUCAGUCACACUGGAACUGAGACACGGUCCAGACUCCUACGGGAGGCAGCAGUGGGGAAUAUUGGACAAUGGGCGAAAGCCUGAUCCAGCCAUGCCGCGUGUGUGAAGAAGGUCUUCGGAUUGUAAAGCACUUUAAGUUGGGAGGAAGGGCAGUAAGUUAAUACCUUGCUGUUUUGACGUUACCAACAGAAUAAGCACCGGCUAACUUCGUGCCAGCCGCCGCAGU
rnacentral:rRNA from 1 species